rnacentral:rRNA from 1 species
UACGAAGGGGGGCUAGCGUUGCUCGGAAUUACUGGGCGUAAAGGGAGCGUAGGCGGACAUUUAAGUCAGAGGUGAAAUCCCGGAGCUUAACUUCGGAACUGCCUUUGAUACUGGGUGUCUUGAGUGUGAGAGAGGUAUGUGGAACUCCGAGUGUAGAGGUGAAAUUCGUAGAUAUUCGGAAGAACACCAGUGGCGAAGGCGACAUACUGGCUCAUUACUGACGCUGAGGCUCGAAAGCGUGGGGAGCAAACAGG